CAGCCGCCACGGUAAUACGUAGGGUGCAAGCGUUAAUCGGAAUUACUGUGCGUAAAGCGUGCGCAGGCGGUUAUAUAAGACAGAUGUGAAAUCCCCGGGCUCAACCUGGGAACUGCAUUUGUGACUGUAUAGCUAGAGUACGGCAGAGGGGGAUGGAAUUCCGCGUGUAGCAGUGAAAUGCGUAGAUAUGCGGAGGAACACCGAUGGCGAAGGCAAUCCCCUGGGCCUGUACUGACGCUCAUGCACGAAAGCGUGGGGAGCAAACAGGAUUAGAUACCCGCGUAGUCCCUGUCUCUUAUAC
rnacentral:rRNA from 1 species